GGGUUGUGAGGUUAAGCGACUAAGCGUACACGGUGGAUGCCCUGGCAGUCAGAGGCGAUGAAGGGCGUGCUAAUCUGCGAUAAGCGCCGGUAAGGUGAUAUGAACCGUUAUAACCGGCGAUACCCGAAUGGGGAAACCCAGUGUGACUCGUCACACUAUCAUUAACUGAAUCCAUAGGUUAAUGAGGCGAACCGGGGGAACUGAAACAUCUAAGUACCCCGAGGAAAAGAAAUCAACCGAGAUUCCCCCAGUAGCGGCGAGCGAACGGGGAGGAGCCCAGAGCCUGAAUCAGCAUGUGUGUUAGUGGAAGCGUCUGGAAAGGCGCGCGAUACAGGGUGACAGCCCCGUACACAAAAGCGCAUGUGCUGUGAGCUCGAUGAGUAGGGCGGGACACGUGGUAUCCUGUCUGAAUAUGGGGGGACCAUCCUCCAAGGCUAAAUACUCCUGACUGACCGAUAGUGAACCAGUACCGUGAGGGAAAGGCGAAAAGAACCCCGGCGAGGGGAGUGAAAAAGAACCUGAAACCGUGUACGUACAAGCAGUGGGAGCACCCUUUGGGGUGUGACUGCGUACCUUUUGUAUAAUGGGUCAGCGACUUAUAUUCUGUAGCAAGGUUAACCGAAUAGGGGAGCCGCAGGGAAACCGAGUCUUAAU
rnacentral:rRNA from 1 species